AUGGAAAAAAUGAAGGACGCGCCGGUACCAGAAGGUGAAGAGCCAAAGUCUGCUGCUCAAAUUGUUGAAGAAGUGCUCAAGACCAAAGUCAAGGAAAGCACAUUCCUCAGGAAUGCUGGGCUCCAAUCAUCUAGGAACAACUCUGGCAAAGCAACUGCUGAAGUGCCUGCUCAUGUUCGUGAUCUUGAGCAGAAGCUGGAGAGGUCGGAGCUUCAAGCUGAAGUGAUGCAAGAAGAAUAG
rnacentral:rRNA from 1 species